UGGGGGAUAUUGCACAAUGGGGGAAACCCUGAUGCGGCGACGCCGCGUGGAGGAAGAAGGUUUUCGGAUUGUAAACUCCUGUCGUUAGGGACGAUAAUGACGGUACCUAACAAGAAAGCACCGGCUAACUACGUGCCAGCAGCCGCGGUAAAACGUAGGGUGCAAGCGUUGUCCGGAAUUACUGGGUGUAAAGGGAGCGCAGGCGGACCGGCAAGUUGGAAGUGAAAACUAUGGGCUCAACCCAUAAAUUGCUUUCAAAACUGCUGGCCUUGAGUAGUGCAGAGGUAGGUGGAAUUCCCGGUGUAGCGGUGGAAUGCGUAGAUAUCGGGAGGAACACCAGUGGCGAAGGCGACCUACUGGGCACCAACUGACGCUGAGGCUCGAAAGCAUGGGUAGCAAACAGGAUUAGAUACCCUGGUAGUCCAUGCCGUAAACGAUGAUUACUAGGUGUUGGAGGAUUGACCCCUUCAGUGCCGCAGUUAACACAAUAAGUAAUCCACCUGGGGAGUACGACCGCAAGGUUGAAACUCAAAGGAAUUGACGGGGGCCCGCACAAGCAGUGGAGUAUGUGGUUUAAUUCGAAGCAACGCGAAGAACCUUACCAGGUCUUGACAUCCGAUGCAUAGCUUAGAGAUAAGUGAAGUCCUUCGGGACAUCGAGACAGGUGGUGCAUGGUUGUCGUCAGCUCGUGUCGUGAGAUGUUGGGUUAAGUCCCGCAACGAGCGCAACCCUUAUUGCCAGUUACUACGAAAGAGGACUCUGGCGAGACUGCCGUUGACAAAACGGAGGAAGGUGGGGAUGACGUCAAAUCAUCAUGCCCUUUAUGACCUGGGCUACACACGUACUACAAUGGCGUUUAACAAAGAGAAGCAAGACCGCGAGGUGGAGCAAAACUCAAAAACAACGUCUCAGUUCAGAUUGCAGGCUGCAACUCGCCUGCAUGAAGUCGGAAUUGCUAGUAAUCGCGGAUCAGCAUGCCGCGGUGAAUACGUUCCC
rnacentral:rRNA from 1 species